GAUGAACGCUGGCGGCGUGCCUAAUACAUGCAAGUCGAGCGAACAGACGAGGAGCUUGCUCCUCUGACGUUAGCGGCGGACGGGUGAGUAACACGUGGAUAACCUACCUAUAAGACUGGGAUAACUUCGGGAAACCGGAGCUAAUACCGGAUAAUAUAUUGAACCGCAUGGUUCAAUAGUGAAAGACGGUUUUGCUGUCACUUAUAGAUGGAUCCGCGCCGCAUUAGCUAGUUGGUAAGGUAACGGCUUACCAAGGCGACGAUGCGUAGCCGACCUGAGAGGGUGAUCGGCCACACUGGAACUGAGACACGGUCCAGACUCCUACGGGAGGCAGCAGUAUGGAAUCUUCCGCAAUGGGCGAAAGCCUGACGGAGCAACGCGGCGUGAGUGAUGAAGGUCUUCGGAUCGUAAAACUCUGUUAUUAGGGAAGAACAAAUGUGUAAGUAACUAUGCACGUCUUGACGGUACCUAAUCAGAAAGCCACGGCUAACUACGUG
rnacentral:rRNA from 1 species